rnacentral:rRNA from 1 species
UACGUAGGGUGCAAGCGUUGUCCGGAAUUAUUGGGCGUAAAGAGCUCGUAGGCGGCUUGUCGCGUCGACUGUGAAAACCCGCGGCUCAACUGCGGGCCUGCAGCCGAUACGGGCAGGCUAGAGUUCGGUAGGGGAGACUGGAAUUCCUGGUGUAGCGGUGAAAUGCGCAGAUAUCAGGAGGAACACCGGUGGCGAAGGCGGCAUCCUGGACCGGCAUUGACGCUGAGGCGCGAAAGCCAGGGAGGCAAACGGG